rnacentral:rRNA from 1 species
UACGGAGGGGGCUAGCGUUGUUCGGAAUUACUGGGCGUAAAGCGCACGUAGGCGGCUUUGUAAGUUAGAGGUGAAAGCCCGGGGCUCAACUCCGGAAUUGCCUUUAAGACUGCAUCGCUAGAAUUGUGGAGAGGUAAGUGGAAUUCCGAGUGUAGAGGUGAAAUUCGUAGAUAUUGGGAGGAACACCAGUGGCGAAGGCGGCUCACUGGACCGGUACUGACGCUGAUGCGCGAAAGCGUGGGGGAGCAAACGGG